GACGAACGCUGGCGGCGUGCUUAACACAUGCAAGUCGAACGGAAAGGCCCUGCUUUUGUGGGGUGCUCGAGUGGCGAACGGGUGAGUAACACGUGAGUAACCUGCCCUUGACUUUGGGAUAACUUCAGGAAACUGGGGCUAAUACCGGAUAGGAGCUCCUGCUGCAUGGUGGGGGUUGGAAAGUUUCGGCGGUUGGGGAUGGACUCGCGGCUUAUCAGCUUGUUGGUGGGGUAGUGGCUUACCAAGGCUUUGACGGGUAGCCGGCCUGGGAGGGUGACCGGCCACAUUGGGACUGAGAUACGGACCAGACUCCUACGGGAGGCAGCAGGGGGGAAUAUUGCACAAUGGGCGGAAGCCUGAUGCAGCAACGCCGCGUGCGGGAUGACGGCCUUCGGGUUGUAAACCGCUUUCGCCUGUGACGAAGCGUGAGUGACGGUAAUGGGUAAAGAAGCACCGGCUAACUACGUG
rnacentral:rRNA from 1 species